rfam:Nicotiana attenuata strain TT chromosome 8, whole genome shotgun sequence.
UGGACAGAUUAUUGUAUUCGACUGUAUUCACGGCAUGAAACAGGGGAUUACACUGUUUUAAAUGGAAAGUGAAUCAAUUAACAUAAUAGACUCCU